AGAGUUUGAUCCUGGCUCAGAACGAACGCUGGNGGCAUGCCUAACACAUGCAAGUCGAACGUGAUCCGGGGCUUGCUCCGGUGAAAGUGGCGGACGGGUGAGUAACGCGUGGGAACCUGCCCAUUGGUCGGGGAUAACUGCGGGAAACUGCAGCUAAUACCCGGGUAAGCCCUUGAGCUUAGGCUUUUGGGGAAAGAUUUAUCGCCAUUGGAGGGGCCCGCGUCGGAUUAGGUAGUUGGUGGGGUAAAGGCCUACCAAGCCUUCGAUCCGUAGCUGGUCUGAGAGGAUGAUCAGCCACACUGGGACUGAGAUACGGCCCAGACUCCUACGGGAGGCAGCAGUGGGGAAUAUUGGACAAUGGGCGCAAGCCUGAUCCAGCAAUGCCGCGUGAGUGAAGAAGGCCUUAGGGUUGUAAAGCUCUUUCGGCGGGGACGAUGAUGACGGUACCCGCAGAAGAAGCCCCGGGCUAACUCCGUGCCAGCAGCCGCGGUAAUACGGAGGGGGCUAGCGUUGUUCGGAAUUACUGGGCGUAAAGGGCGCGUAGGCGGCGCGAUAAGUUGGGCGUGAAAGGCCCGGGCUCAACCCGGGGACUGCGCUUGAUACUGUCGCGCUGUGAGUCCGGGAGAGGAUGGCGGAAUUCCCAGUGUAGAGGUGAAAUUCGUAGAUNUUGGGANGAACACCGGUGGCNAAGGCG
rnacentral:rRNA from 1 species